UCCUACGUGUCCUGCCAAUGCGAUUGGUACAAAUAAGAGAUUAUAUGCCACGUGCAUGCUCGAACCAAUCCCCAGACCUAAAUGUAGACCGAGGCUUAUGUAGCGUGGAAAAAUUAAACGCUAAUGCAGCGGCUGGCUAUUGGCACAGGGCCAACACCUUUGUCCGAUGGGUCACAAGUAAAGCUGCAAGAUUUACUCACUGUAUUGGGAAAAAUGUCGACUCAGCCUCAAACGAGUAACUGGUGCGGCGUGUGAACAUCGCCACUGGGGAGACAAAGGCGGCCGGGCGUGGUGGAUCCAAGCCCCGGACGAAGCCGGGAUCGUCAGAAUUGGCGGCAACUUCGGAAGGCCUUCAUCCUGCAGUGGACCGAACAAGGCUGAUGAUGACGAUCUUUUGUCAAGGAUGGUCAACACACUGGUCGUCCUUCGACAUGCGUGGACUGCUUUACAAGGGGAGCUGAAAUGGAAUGUACUGUAAUUCAGUUCACGGUAGACGCUGCUGUCGUGUGUGAUGCCCAGGAAUGACUUUGAGAGGAACACAUGCAGAUCUCAUGGCUUGGCAGCAUUCAUCAAUGCCAGGGAAAGUUCUUCCACAUUCUGUCUCGGAACCAAAGUUAAUUUUGAACAUCAAAGCUAUGUUCAUUUGUAAAAAUAAAAAAAAAUCGGCUAGUGACUUUGUGACUAUUUUUGUUCAGUUAGAGGUUAUGCACUGGUCCAGGGCCACGGUGCUCAAGGUUUUGUGUUUCUCUCCAUUUGUAUUUCAAUGAUGUCUGGUUGUGUUGUUGUUGUUGUUUGCCAUCGUUAUGCGUUGCUGUACCUUUGUCGUCUUCUCCUUCUCAUAGUCCCUUAGCCAUUUAGGCUCCUGGGGGAGGGCCAUUUCCUUCACCGAUAUCUCCUUGCAGUAUUCUCUCCACUUCUCUGCCCGUCACUGCAUCUUUCAACUGAGGUUGCGGCGCUCAUCGCUUCAUGAAUGGAGUUAAAAAGAACUCGCAAGCACACACCUUGUGAAAUACCCAACAGAAGAUCCCUGGGUUUGAUCUUCAAUGAAGCUCAUGGUCCACACCCUACACCGCAUCCACUGCACACACCGUGGCGGAUGCCAAUACCUGAUGCGCAAAUGGAAAAUUUAACACUCUCCAGUAGUGUACGACCGUGGUCGUACAGAACAGACCGUGACAACGUAUAACGACGCAAUGCCAAAUCCACAAAUACGAAGAAGAGACAUCGAAGCGAUACACUCGGCUGGCUGCUGGCGUGGUUAAUCUGGCUUCACCACCUGAAUGUGAAGUUGUUGCUCUGCAUCUACAUCAGCCAUACGAAAGAGGAAAAGUGUUAAAUAUUGUACCACGUAAUUUCGA